ensembl:ncRNA lncRNA:CR44977 long non-coding RNA:CR44977
AUCAACAUUACACUUUUACACCAACUGCUGGCCGUGACUGUGGAGAGCAGACUGUGGCGCAGAGCUAAAUAAGAAAUGAGAUAAUAAUAACAAAAGCGUAGAAACGUAGAAGUUAAUGCAAGCAAAUAACAACAAUGCGCGCGGACGUCGAAAAGAACAAACACACAUACACAAACACGCUCAUAAACAAACGCCAAAGGAGGCGAAGACCAGGAGGGGGAAAAGGCAAGAAUAAAAUGUUUUGUUGCAUUGCAACAAACAGCAACAGCAACAAUGCAAGUGAUGCGCCGCCAGAAAGAGAUAGAUGCACGAGCAAGAGGAAGCGCAGCAGGAAAAAGGCAGCACCAACACACUGUCACUCACUCACACAGGCAUACAUACAGUCACGUACGCGAUUCUAAACAAGUUGAUGAACUCUACGGCAUCGGUGGAAGAAGAAGAAUGAGCAGCAAAACUAAACAAUUUGUUUCUGGUGCUUUUGUUCGCUUGUAUACUGAGUUAACAUUUAUUUGCUGCAGAUAUGUAUAUCUUGUAGCAUACGUACAUAGGCUAGUUCACACGCACGCACACACACUAGCAGCAGCAGUAGUAGUGUAUUCUCUCUGAACGCGACGGGAAGUGAACGCGAACAAGCGCCAAACUGUUGUUUAUCCGGCGAGUGUUAAGAACUGAAUGAGAAUGAACCAGCAUGGCGAAGAAGAAUUUUACAAGACGCGGAACGAGGAACGGAAACGAACGGGAACGGAACGAACGAACCAAGCCGACAAAAGCGGCCAGCCGAAAAAACUCACUCAACCAGUUUUAGCCAGCGGGAGAGCGAGAGAGACAAAGAACCAGCGAACGGGACCGAGAGAGAGCGGGAAAUCUAGUUUCUGCAGAACGCCACGGGGAAUGGAUUGGCAAUUGGAACGGGUGUUUGUAUGCAUGUACAUACCUACAUACAUGCGGCGAUGAGACUGACCUCUGACAACCUCCUACACUCGCACACGUACAUAUGUAUGCGGCAUAUGUACUCGAACAGAACAUAAAUUGCGCGAGGGAGCAGUGCACUCCAAGUAUUCCGGGCUCUGUAUGUACAUAUGCGAGUGGGAGUGAGCUGCACUUACAAAGAGAGCGGCAAAGGAGACGGCGGCGAUGAAGUCGGAGAAGAAGAAGCACGAACGAAGAACGAAGCGCAGCAGAAGAGCCCGAAAAAGGGCUACAAAGAGCGGAAGCAGUGGAAACCGCGCCACUGGUCGUGGGGUAACUUGUACUAUCUAGCCAUUUUUUGGGGGCUAAGCCCCAUGCAUAGAACCAGUGCAGUGAGUCAAAAGAUUAUCAUCCGCGUUUAUUUUCGGGUUUGUUUCGCAAU